GCCCAGAUAACGGACCCUUUCUUUGGC
rnacentral:sRNA from 1 species